UCUUGGUUGCUUGCCCCCAGUGACGGUGGUGCAGAAGGUGCAGUGUGGUUUGAGUAUUGCCGAGCAUGGUUAGGCAUUUCUUGAAGAGGCACAGGAUCAAAGGAUCCGAACACGAUCUUAGUGGUGUGCGUUGCAGCUGUGUCUUCUAGGUCGAGCUCAAUCCGCCCUUGUUGUGCCAACUUCAUGAUGAGUUCUUUUAGGAUGAAACACUUACCCA
rnacentral:lncRNA from 1 species